UACGAGGGGGGCGAGCGUUGUUCGGAAUUAUUGGGCGUAAAGGGUGCGUAGGCGGUUUGGGAAGUCUUGUGUGAAAUCUUCGGGCUCAACUCGAAGUCUGCACGAGAAACUGCCGGGCUUGAGUAUGGGAGAGGUGAGUGGAAUUCCCGGUGUAGUGGUGGAAUGCGUAGAUAUCGGGAGGAACACCAGUGGCGAAGGCGGUUGCCUGGAGCUUUGCUGACGCUGAUGCGCGAAAGCGUGGGGAGCGAUCCGG
rnacentral:rRNA from 1 species